UUUAUCUAAAUCUUGGUCAGGGGAUUGAUGUAUAAAGUUAGUAUUGUUUGAACUGACACACACAGGCAAAUAAACAUGCUCAUAAAUUUUGUGUGUGUGUUCUCUAAUAUUAUCCGAUAUUAUAUUUUAUAUUUUAAUUUUUAUUAUAAGAAAUACUUUUACACAUUUCAGUCAUAUUCGAAUCUUGAAAGCCCAGGAACGAAUUGAAGAAAGGGAUGUCAAAUUUAUCAACUAGUUAUCAACGAGUUGAUGACCAAAAAAAGUGGGUUUCUGCUUAAAAAUGAUGUUUUCAGGCGAUAAUAGUGAAACCCCAGGCUUUUUUAAAUAAUAAUCAUUCAUUCUACCAAGGCAAAACUAAACUUAAACAAGUCGUAAAAUAAAAAAUAUUUCUGCUACGAUUGUCAGUGAGAACAAUUUUCACUAGUCAAAAAAUUUUCCGAAAGAAUAUAUUCCAGAUUUGAGAUCGAAAAAAUCUAUGACAUAUUUGCCCAUUGUUGUUUCCCCAAGUUAAAUACUUUGAAGACUCCCACAAAUUGUUAAUUUUUGCUGAAAAUAUAUUGGUACUUGUAUUUUGAAUUUUGCUGAAAGCAACAGAAUGGUAGCGUGCGUUAUCCACAACAAUAACACUAAUUAGUUGUAAGAUUUUU